UUAUGGGAAAUUGUGUUUCAAUGGGGAGUGUCCACUUUCAGUUUUUAGCUCAUUUCAAGUUACUUCCACGACGUUACAUAUAGAAGCUGAUAUCCGUUUUGUCAUUGAAGUUUGUUUUGAUGAUUGUUAUUACUGGUGGUGGCUUUUGCAUCUGUGCACAAAACAUUAUGUUCUUGUAUACAGAAAGAGGCUUAUAGCUUCAGACAACUCCUUCGGUCUCCUGACACAGUGGAGGAGCUGCAUCACAUUCUGGAACCAGAGCAUCUAAAGGCUCCAAGCAGCUCAGCUGGGAUGCAGUCCUCAGGCAGGAGAGACACUUGCCGGUGGUGGAGCACUUGGUCUGCUGCCAUGAACUGCCGUAUGAGGGUGUGUCGGCUGGGUGAGGAGCUCCUGCCCUCUGUGCUCUAUGUAUGGAGACAGAUGAGGCCCAGCAGCACUCUCAAAGAGGAGAUAGUAGAGUUAUUCAACCUGCAGCUCUGUGUACAUCAUCUCAAGGGUCAAAUACACAAGACACAGGAGCCUAUGCUGAGGACUGGGCCAAAUGGCAGAGUCUACUCUAUAACCUCUAUGAUGCCCUGGUGACUGAGAUCAGCCAGAUUGGGAGCUGGGAGAAAAAAUGCCACAGGGUUGCGCCACAUUGCUGUGAAGGAGAACCUUAUUGAGCUAACUGGAGACAUCAGAUGAUAAGAUCCUUAAUUUUCACAUCUUGACUUCAUUUACCAUUUCCAGGCUAAAACCUGAGCUGUGCUGACAUAGUUCACCUGUCUUUAAGAUGGUUUUGGUAUUGUUGGUCUCAUCUUCAUGUUUUGGGUGUUUGACUGUUUCUUAGCUCUAUAGCGAAGAUUGUAACCUUCAGAUUCUGGAUGUGACUCAGGCCCACCUCAGAGCCACCCAGAGAGGAAGUCUCCAGGGCACGCCCAGCAAGUGCAGACACAUCGAGCUGGGCUGGGCUGGGAGGUUCUCCGAGACCACCUGCAGCCACACCAUCAUACCAUGGGCCGUGGAGGGGGUCGGGCCCCCCAGCAUCAAGGAGAACAUCAUGAGCUGGCUGCUGAUGAACGAACAGAGUGAAGAGGCAGAGGAGAGAUCAAGAUCACACCCCAUCAUCUGCAGGAUUUUCCUCACAACCUAAUCCGCAGAAUCCUUGUGCCUUUGACCCUCAAAGACACCCGAGCUGGCAUUAUGUUUCUCCUCGGAGCAAAGGAACUUGAGAGGCUGUUCUUGGAGAUGACACCGGACAGCUUGGAGAAGAGAAAGAUGCUUCCUCUGAAAUGCCAGCAGACAGCCUUUGAGAACAUCUACCUGAAAGCCUAAGAAGGGAUGAGGCUCCAGAAGAGCAGCUCUCCUGAAUACCUGAAUGACGAGACAUUUAACAGCAAGGCCACGCUGCUGAAGAAUGUGUCGGUGGUGCUGUGCUGCAGCCCCGUCUGUGAGAAACAGUCCCUCUUCGCCCUCUUCCAGUCCAACAAGGAGACCAACAUAGAGGAGCCGCUCAUCAAAGAGCUAAGGGCAAAUCAUUUGGCUACACGUAUUUACAGUCUCAUAAAUUAUGUAUUGUAUUAAUGUUUCUUAAACUGAAAGCACUUUAUAGUGUAGGUGGAUAACUCAGCCUUUCCACCGUCACUACAUACAGUAUCGCUGUCUGACUACUAUCAGUAUGCUAUGAUAUUGACAGACUGAAUGUUAACCUGGUUUGUCCCUCACCCCAUGUAGAUCCUGGGCAGUGAGUCCAGAGUUCUGGGCUACAGAAGUGUGGAGGGGUUUGUUAGCUCUCACCUGGAUUACCUGGUGGCAGAGGGUCUGGGCUAGCCUGGCUAUACCCUGGAGUCCUUCCCCUACACUCUGCUCAAUCACCCCACUCUCUUCUACAGCAAAUCUACUGCCUGAUUCACAGUAACCUGGCGGACAUUGUGGUGGAGCUGUUGAUGACCCUGUAUGAUGGGGCUGCUACCGAGGAGGGCAGAGGGGACCUGAGGAGGGAACUGGACCCAGCCCCAAUCCCACCCUCUUUCAGCUCCAAUGUUAUCAAAGCCACACUGGACUACCUCAGCAAAUGUCACAGUGCCAGUCACCAGUCGUCCCUGGUGGCCAUUUUAUCCAGGACACUGAUCUCCAUCCAGAGGAUCCUGCUGGCGGUGUGUCAGAAGGCAGCUGAGACGAUCAAUGCCUACGAGAGGAUCCCAGGGCAGUGAUUGGGGACAUUAGCCUGUGUAGUGUGCUGGUUUUCCUGACUCUCUGUGGUCACUAAAAGAUCCCAUGGAAUGUAAGAGUAGGGGUGUUAACCCUGGUGUCCUGGCUAAAUUCCCAAUCUGGUUCUCAUACCCUCAUGGCCACCUAAUCAUCCCCUGCU